UGCCUUCAGGAUGGGGACAACAGACGGAAACGACUGCUAAUACCGAAUAAGUUCCAAGAGCCGCAUGGCCCAUGGAAGAAAAGGUGGCCUCUACCUGUAAGCUAUCGCCUGAAGAGGGGUUUGCGUCUGAUUAGCUGGUUGGAGGGGUAACGACCCACCAAGGCGACGAUCAGUAGCCGGUCUGAGAGGAUGAACGGCCACACUGGAACUGAGACACGGUCCAGACUCCUACGGGAGGCAGCAUG
rnacentral:rRNA from 1 species